rnacentral:sRNA from 1 species
GCGUUGCCGCAGGCAACGACCUGAAGGGCGAAGCGCGCAGCGCUGAGUAAUCCUUCCCCCACCACCA